GCCAUGGUCGGUAGGCUCCAAAACAAACAGCGCCGUCGAAGGCCCUGGCAGAGGAAAGGUGCUCACCCCACAGCAGCAGGAGGCAGAGAAGGGAGAGCUGUGCACAAGAACACGCCCUUCCAGGUCACGCCCCUCUUGGCCACCUGGGCCCAGGCCCCACCUCCUGACAGCACAUUCAGUUGCUGAACUCCUCAAAUGGAUGAAUCCACGGACAAGCAUAACACCAACCCGACCUUCCAAAUACAGGAGAGUCACGGUGCACACUUCUAAGCCGUAACACACUGGAACCUCUGAAAUCAGGAGCCAAACUAAACCUGUCCUCUUGGUCCUGCAGGGAGGAGGUCAGAGGCAGAGACUUCUCCAACCCCUCUGAGCCACAGCUAACCACCUCCACGGAACCAUUUCUAUGUCUGCUGGAUGGAUGGAUGCACGCAUGCAGGGGGAAGCUCUGCUCUGCUCUGCUCUGCUCCUGCUCCUGCUCCUGCACCUGCUCCUGCUCCUGCUCCUGCUCCUGCUCCUGCUCCUGCUCCUGCUCCUGUUCCUGUUCCUGCUCCUGCUCCUGUUCCUGCUCCUGCUCCUGCUCGGCUCUGCUCUGCUCUGCUCUCUUGGGGAAAAGCCAAGAGAGGCAGUAGUUGAACUCAAUCCAGGACCUGAAAGCAUUCUGCAAGGGGAGUUGUCUUUGUUCUCCUGCAAGGUUUCCAGUGGAGAUAAAUGCGUUCCACAUGGCCCAGGAGGAGAAGGCUUCUUUCCACUUGCUUUUGAUCCUUCGACACUGCAGCGUGUAAACACUUAUCAUUCCAGAGUCUUCCAGAACCACAGGUCCUUCCCUGACCUCCCACCCUACCGGAGUGGCAUGACCGUGUCCCACACCACCCUGUAGCCGCCACCACCCAAGUGGAGAGCCAUGGUCAUGAGCCCCAUGGAACUGUCCUUGCCAGAAAGGACCCAAAGCAUAGGUUGCCCGGUGGCCUUUGCCUGUGGCCAGGCAGGCUUCAUGCCUAAACGCAGUCUUCCCUGUGGGCCCAGUUUCACUGUUCCUCCUUGACAGGCCAACUACCAGAUGAAGUCAGAUGAAAAAGGGGACGCGCCCUCACGGCCCCUGCUGGAGACUUCAGCUGUCACAGUCUCUCUGCAGGAAAACUGUACGUGAGUAAAUAAACGCAAAAGGAAACACUCUCACGUCCAGGAAUCUACCCCUAGGAAGUAAGUGAAAUGAUUUACACAUAAGAUGCUUCCUACAUCAUUUUAAAAAGUUUUUAAGGGGCCGGGGAUUUAGCUCAGUGGUUUCGCCACCUACUGCACAAGCACAAGGACCCAAGUUCGACCCCCAGUACCAAAAAAAUAAAGUUUUUAAAAAGGCAAGGCGGGGAACAACCUAAGUAAUUAAGGAUAGGGGAGUAAAUGGCUUCCUGCACUUUGACAACUGUGACAUAAGCCUACCAAAACUCAUAUUGGAGUAUAUGCCCUAAUAAAAAAUGAUAAAUAUUUAUUUUUAUAAAUUGCACCUGGGUACUAUUGAGCCAAAAUAUUAUGUGCAUGAUCAAAUACACAUUAUGGUCACUGUAAACAGUGUUUUAAAUUUAUUUUAUUCAUUUAUACUACAAAAAUAUUUUGGUAUAGAGAAAUGCAAUUUUUGAUAUGUUCUAUUAUUUGUGUAACUUUUAGGUCAACACUUUAUGAUACAAUUGAAGAUUCAGUGUAUUUUUAUACUAGGUUUUGAUAGUUACCAUAAUUGAAAACAUUCUUUUAUGAUGACACAGAUAAAAUAGUAUAAAAGCAAUAAUUGACCAUAU
ensembl:lncRNA